rnacentral:rRNA from 1 species
GACGAACGCUGGCGGCGUGCCUAAAACAUGCAAGUCGAACGAGGUCCACCCAGUGGCAACACUGGUGAAGACCUAGUGGCGAACGGGUGAGUAACACGUGAGGAACCUGCCCCGAAGACCGGGAUAACCCUCCGAAAGGAGAGCUAAUACCGGAUACCCCCACCAGAUCGCAUGGUCAGGUGAGGAAAUGCAUUGUGCUUCGGGAGGGCCUCGCGGCCUAUCAGCUUGUUGGUGGGGUAACGGCCCACCAAGGCGUCGACGGGUAGCUGGUCUGAGAGGACGAUCAGCCACACUGGGACUGAGACACGGCCCAGACUCCUACGGGAGGCAGCAGUUAGGAAUCUUGCGCAAUGGGCGAAAGCCUGACGCAGCAACGCCGCGUGGGGGAUGAAGGCCCUCGGGUUGUAAACCCCUUUCAGUCGGGACGAAAAUGACGGUACCGACAGAAGAAGCCCCGGCCAACUACGUGCCAGCCGCCGCCGUAAAAC